GACGAACCGUGCGAACGUUGUUCGGAAUCACUGGGCUUAAAGGGCGCGUAGGCGGCCUGCCAAGUCAGGAGUGAAAUCGUUUCGGCUUAACCGGAAAAGUGCUCUUGAUACGUGGCGGGCUAGAGGGAGAUAGGGGCAUGUGGAACUUCCGGUGGAGCGGUGAAAUGCGUUGAUAUCGGAAGGAACGCCGGUGGCGAAAGCGACGUGCUGGACCUCUUCUGACGCUGAGGCGCGAAGCCAGGGAGCGAACGGG
rnacentral:rRNA from 1 species